ACGAACGCUGGCGGCAUGCCUAACACAUGCAAGUCGAACGAGACCUUCGGGUCUAGUGGCGCACGGGUGCGUAACGCGUGGGAAUCUGCCCUUGGGUUCGGAAUAACAGUUAGAAAUGACUGCUAAUACCGAAUGAUGUCUUCGGACCAAAGAUUUAUCGCCCAGGGAUGAGCCCGCGUCGGAUUAGCUAGUUGGUGAGGUAAAGGCCCACCAAGUCGACGAUGGGUAGCUGGUCUGAGAGGACGACCAGCCACACUGGAACUGAGACACGGUCCAGACUUCUACGGAAGGCAGCAGUGAGGAAUCUUGCUCAAUGGGCGAAAGCCUGAAGCAGCGACGCCGCGUGAGGGAUGAAAUCCGUUAGGAUGUAAACCUCUUUUGCAGGGGAUGAAAAUCCCGUUUCACGGGACUGACCGUACCCUGCGAAUAAGCACCGGCCAACUACGUGCCAGCAGCCGCGGUAAUACGUAGGGUGCAAGCGUUGUCCGGAAUUACUGGGUGUAAAGGGUCCGCAGGCGGGCAAGCAAGUCGGUGGUGAAAGCUCAUGGCUCAACCAUGAGAUUGCCGUCGAUACUGCUUGUCUUGAGUUCGAGAGAGGAUAAUGGAAUUCAUGGUGUAGCAGUGAAAUGCGUAGAGAUCAUGAAGAACACCAGUAGCGAAGGCGGUUAUCUGGCUCGAUACUGACGCUCAGGGACGAAAGCAUGGGUAGCAAACAGGAUUAGAUACCCUGGUAGUCCAUGCCUUAAACGAUGGAUGUUCGGUGUCGGUCCCGUUCCGCACUUGCGAUGCAAGUUCGGAACGGGAUCGGUGCCUGAGCUAACGCGUUAAACAUCCCACCUGGGGAGUACGAUCGCAAGGUUGAAACUCAAAGGAAUUGACGGGGGCCCGCACAAGCAGUGGAGCAUGUGGUUCAAUUCGAUGCAACGCGAAGAACCUUACCUGGGUUUGAAAAGCUAGUGACAAGCGAUGAAAGUCGCUCUGGUAGCAAUACCCACUAGUACAGGUGCUGCAUGGCUGUCGUCAGCUCGUGCCGUGAGGUGUUAGGUUAAGUCCUGCAACGAGCGCAACCCCUGCACUUAGUUGCCAGCAGGUAAAGCUGGGCACUCUAAGUGGACUGCCUACGCAAGUAGCGAGGAAGGUGGGGAUGACGUCAAGUCCUCAUGGCCCUUACACCCAGGGCCACACACGUGCUACAAUGGCGCAUACAAAGUGUUGCAAUCCGGUGACGGAAAGCCAAUCACAAAAAGUGCGUCUCAGUUCGGAUUGCAGGCUGCAACUCGCCUGCAUGAAGUUGGAAUCGCUAGUAAUCGCGCAUCAGCAAUGGCGCGGUGAAUACGUUCCCGGACCUUGCACACACCGCC
rnacentral:rRNA from 1 species